AGUUUGAUCCUGGCUCAGGAUGAACGCUAGCUACAGGCUUAACACAUGCAAGUCGAGGGGCAGCAUUGGAGUAGCAAUGCUUCAGAUGGCGACCGGCGCACGGGUGAGUAACACGUAUCCAACCUGCCGCUUACUCGGGGAUAGCCUUUCGAAAGAAAGAUUAAUACCCGAUGGUAUAAAGAGUUCGCAUGUUCUCUUUAUUAAAGAAUUUCGGUAAGCGAUGGGGAUGCGUUCCAUUAGAUAGUUGGCGGGGUAACGGCCCACCAAGUCUACGAUGGAUAGGGGUUCUGAGAGGAAGGUCCCCCACAUUGGAACUGAGACACGGUCCAAACUCCUACGGGAGGCAGCAGUGAGGAAUAUUGGUCAAUGGACGAGAGUCUGAACCAGCCAAGUAGCGUGAAGGAUGACUGCCCUAUGGGUUGUAAACUUCUUUUAUAAGGGAAUAAAGUGAGGGACGUGUCCCUUUUUGUAUGUACCUUAUGAAUAAGGAUCGGCUAACUCCGUGUCAGCAGCCGCGGUAAUACGGAGGAUCCAAGCGUUAUCCGGAUUUAUUGGGUUUAAAGGGAGCGUAGGUUGACAUAUAAGUCAGCUGUGAAAGUUUACGGCUCAACCGUGAAAUUGCAGUUGAUACUGUAUGUCUUGAGUGUACAAGAGGUGGGCGGGAUUCGUGGUGUAGCGGUGAAAUGCUUAGAUAUCACGAAGAACUCCAAUUGCGAAGGCAGCUCACUGGGGUACAACUGACACUGAGGCUCGAAAGUGUGGGUAUCAAACAGGAUUAGAUACCCUGGUAGUCCACACAGUAAACGAUGAAUACUCGCUGUUUGCGAUAUACAGUAAGCGGCCAAGCGAAAGCAUUAAGUAUUCCACCUGGGGAGUACGCCGGCAACGGUGAAACUCAAAGGAAUUGACGGGGGCCCGCACAAGCGGAGGAACAUGUGGUUUAAUUCGAUGAUACGCGAGGAACCUUACCCGGGCUUGAAUUGCAGAGGAACAUAGUUGAAAGAUUAUGGCCGCAAGGUCUCUGUGAAGGUGCUGCAUGGUUGUCGUCAGCUCGUGCCGUGAGGUGUCGGCUUAAGUGCCAUAACGAGCGCAACCCUUAUCAUUAGUUACUAACAGGUCAUGCUGAGGACUCUAGUGAGACUGCCGUCGUAAGAUGUGAGGAAGGUGGA
rnacentral:rRNA from 1 species